rnacentral:rRNA from 1 species
UACGUAGGGGCCGAGCGUUGUCCGGAGUUAUUGGGCGUAAAGCGCGCGCAGGUGGCCUCGCGCGCCCGACGUGAAAGCCCCCGGCUUAACCGGGGAGGGUCGUUGGGGACGGCGGGGCUUGAGGGCGGGAGAGGUCGGUGGAAUUCCCGGUGUAGUGGUGAAAUGCGUAGAGAUCGGGAGGAACACCUGUGGCGAAGGCGGCCGACUGGGCCGACCCUGACGCUGAGGCGCGAAGGCGUGGGGAGCGAACGGG